AGAGAGGUGGCUCAGUAGUUAGAGCACUGGCUUCUUCCAGAGGACCUGAGUUCAAUUCCCAGCACCCCUG
rfam:Mesocricetus auratus contig104202, whole genome shotgun sequence.